GGUUGCGGCCAUUAUCCUGGUGGGAAAAAAUACGGCCUUCCCGUCCGAUCAGCCAUAGUCCAAGCACCAGGAGAGCCUAGUUAGGUAUUGUAGUGGGGAGACCCAUACGAGAAUCCUGGGUGCUGCAAUC
rnacentral:rRNA from 1 species